ACCCGCUGAAUUUAAGCAUAUCAAUAAGCGGAGGAAAAGAAACUAACAAGGAUUCCCCUAGUAACUGCGAGUGAAGCGGGAAAAGCUCAAAUUUAAAAUCUGGUGGUCUUUGGCCAUCCGAGUUGUAAUCUAGAGAAGUGUUAUCCGCGCUGGACCGUGUACAAGCCCCCUGGAAUGGGGCGUCAUAGAGGGUGAGAAUCCCGUCUUUGACACGGACUACCAGGGCUUUGUGAUGCACUCUCAAAGAGUCGAGUUGUUUGGGAAUGCAGCUCAAAAUGGGUGGUAAAUUCCAUCUAAAGCUAAAUAUUGGCGAGAGACCGAUAGCGAACAAGUACCGUGAGGGAAAGAUGAAAAGAACUUUGGAAAGAGAGUUAAACAGUACGUGAAAUUGUUGAAAGGGAAACGCUUGAAGUCAGUCGCGUCUGCCAGGGAUCAACCUUACUUUUGUGAGGCGUACUUCCUGGUUGAUGGGUCAGCAUCAGUUUUGGUUGCUGGAUAAAGGUCAGAGAAAUGUGGCACCUUCGGGUGUGUUAUAGUCUUUGAUCAGAUACAGUGGCUGGGACUGAGGAACUCAGCGCCGCAAGGCUGUCUUAGGAUGCUGGCAAAAUGGCUUUAAUCGACCCGUCUUGAAACACGGACCAAGGAG
rnacentral:rRNA from 1 species